UACGUAGGGGGCAAGCGUUAUCCGGAUUUACUGGGUGUAAAGGGAGCGUAGACGGCGAUGCAAGCCAGAUGUGAAAGCCCGCGGCUCAACUGCGGUAGUGCAUUUGGAACUGUAUGGCUGGAGUGCAGGAGAGGCAGGCGGAAUUCGUGGUGUAGCGGUGAAAUGCUUAGAUAUCACGAAGAACCCCGAUUGCGAAGGCAGCCUGCCGCAGCGUUACUGACGCUGAAGCUCGAAAGCGCGGGUAUCGAACAGG
rnacentral:rRNA from 1 species